CCCACCAGGAUCCCGGCCCCGAGCUUCUGCAGACCAGUGGAAUCCCAAGGGGCUGGGAGGCGCCCCUUCUUUCGGGCUCAGACGGCGGCUGGCAGGAACCCCACACCCCGUUCCUGCUACUUGUGCGCCGCACAGGUGUCCUCACGGCGCUGCUGCCGCGGCUACGGCUCGCGCUGAAAACCCGAGCGACCGCGGCUCUCGCUCCGCCUGCCGCCGCCGCCGCGGCUGCCUGUACCAGAUGAGUGGACCACUGUGGACGCGAGAAUUGGAGAAGUAGUAGGAGAGCCAAGACAGAGCAAAGCUGAUGGUUUCACAAGCCAGAAUGCAGAACUGAGCAAGCCUGAAAUGGGAGCAAGCAAAUGCAAACAAGUACAGAAACCAGAAAUAAGAAUGCAGCAAAGUUGCCAGCCAAGGAGAUCAUCAACAAAAUGAAAGGCAGUGCACAGAAUAUAAGAAAAAUCUCCAAAUCAUCUACCUGAGAAGGGGUUAAUAUCCACAAUAUAUGAUGAACUCAUGCAACUCAACAGGGGUGGGGGCGGGGAACCACCCAAUUUAAAGAGAGGCAAAGGAACUGAAUAGACAUUUUCCCAAGAAGACAUAGAGAUGGCCAACAGAUACAUGAAAAUGUGCUCAUCACCACUAAUCAUAAGGGCACUGCAAAUCAAAACCAUAAUGAGACUAUUACCUCAUAUAUGAUAAAAUGACUAUUAUCAAAAGACAAGAAACAAAAAGUAUUGGCAAAGAUGUAGAGAAAAUAAAUGUUUUAUUGUUGCAAGCCCCUAAGAUUUU
rnacentral:lncRNA from 1 species